GAUGAACGCUGGCGGCGUGCCUAAUACAUGCAAGUCGAGCGAACGGACGAGAAGCUUGCUUCUCUGAUGUUAGCGGCGGACGGGUGAGUAACACGUGGAUAACCUACCUAUAAGACUGGGAUAACUUCGGGAAACCGGAGCUAAUACCGGAUGAUAUUUUGAACCGCAUGGUUCAAAAGUGAAAGACGGUCUUGCUGUCACUUAUAGAUGGAUCCGCGCUGCAUUAGCUAGUUGGUAAGGUAACGGCUUACCAAGGCAACGAUGCAUAGCCGACCUGAGAGGGUGAUCGGCCACACUGGAACUGAGACACGGUACAGACUCCUACGGGAGGCAGCAGUAGGGAAUCUUCCGCAAUGGGCGAAGGCCUGACGGAGCAACGCCGCGUGAGUGAUGAAGGUCUUCGGAUCGUAAAACUCUGUUAUUAGGGAAGAACAUAUGUGUAAGUAACUGUGCACAUCUUGACGGUACCUAAUCAGAAAGCCACGGCUAACUACGUG
rnacentral:rRNA from 1 species